rfam:Parcubacteria bacterium GW2011_GWB1_45_10 TW89_C0005, whole genome shotgun sequence.
GCGGGUGUAGUUCAGUGGCAGAACGUCAGUUUUCCAAACUGAGAACGAGGGUUCGAUUCCCUUCACCCGCU